AUUCUUAGUAUAAGGUCGCAGUAUGUUUAAUUGCAAAUUAAAAGGUUGAGAAUUU
rnacentral:tRNA from 1 species